UACGAAGGCCCCGAGCGUUAUCCGGAUUUACUGGGCGUAAAGAGCUAAAAGGCUGUUUUGUAAGUCGAGUGUUAAAGCCCGGAGCUCAACUCCGGAUCUGCAUUCGAAACUGCAAAGCUAGAGGACGGAAGAGGUAAGCGGAAUUGCUGGUGUAGCAGUAAAAUGCGUUAAUAUCAGCAGGAACACCGAUUGCGAAGGCUGCUUACUAGGACGCUCCUGACGCUAAAUAGCGAAAGUGUGGGUAGCGAAUGGG
rnacentral:rRNA from 1 species